UACGUAGGGGGCUAGCGUUGUCCGGAAUCAUUGGGCGUAAAGAGCGUGUAGGCGGUCCGGUAAGUCCGCUGUGAAAGUCGGGGGCUCAACCCUCGAAUGCCGGUGGAUACUGUCGGGUUAGAGUGCGGAAGAGGCGAGUGGAAUUCCUGGUGUAGCGGUGAAAUGCGCAGAUAUCAGGAGGAACACCUAUUGCGAAGGCAGCUCGCUGGGACGUAACUGACGCUGAGACGCGAAAGCGUGGGGAGCAAACAGG
rnacentral:rRNA from 1 species